rnacentral:lncRNA from 1 species
AACAACUACAUGCUUAGUUUAAUCUCUUGCAUAAUCGAAAAUAGGAAUCAAGAUGAUUUAUGGCCUGCACCAAAUUGGAAAAACAACUAGGCGUCGCGAACCAUGUACAGAUAUGCAAUAGAGCCUCCCAGCAGCAUAUGUGCAAUAAUAAAAUGGCAGCAAGAAGUGACGUAUACAAAACAAAUCCCUAUUAUACUGUAGAGAUAAGUUCGAACUUAGCUUUGCCUUGAAUGAUGCUGGCUCGCCGGAGUUCGAGCAGGGGCAGCGAUGGUUCAGAAGCCGGAGCCACAAUAUGAGGUAGCAUCUUGCUGAAGAAUGGAGAGAGCGGCGCCAGGGACAAACGGCGACCGCUAGUCGUUGGGUUUACAGACCCAACAACGACGACUGAUCUGCUACAGCACGGGGAAGAGAGGAUCAGUCGAAGCUGUUUCCGGUUGAGUAAUUUAGCGUCGGCCUCGCCGAAUUUUCAGAUCCG